GGGNGGCUACCAUGCANGUCGAGUNUCUCUUCGGAGAGAGCGGCGGACGGGUGAGUAACGCGUGGGUAACCUGCCCUGUACACACGGAUAACAUACCGAAAGGUAUACUAAUACGGGAUAACAUANGAAAGUCGCAUGGCUUUUGUAUCAAAGCUCCGGCGGUACAGGAUGGACCCGCGUCUGAUUAGCUAGUUGGUAAGGUAAUGGCUUACCAAGGCAACGAUCAGUAGCCGACCUGAGAGGGUGAUCGGCCACACUGGAACUGAGACACGGUCCAGACUCCUACGGGAGGCAGCAGUGGGGAAUAUUGCACAAUGGGCGAAAGCCUGAUGCAGCAACGCCGCGUGAGCGAUGAAGGCCUUCNGGUCGUAAAGCUCUGUCCUCAAGGAAGAUAAUGACGGUACUUGAGGAGGAAGCCCCGGCUAACUACGUGCCAGCAGCCGCGGUAAUACGUAGGGGGCUAGCGUUAUCCGGAAUUACUGGGCGUAAAGGGUGCGUAGGUGGUUUUUUAAGUCAGAAGUGAAAGGCUACGGCUCAACCGUAGUAAGCUUUUGAAACUAGAGAACUUGAGUGCAGGAGAGGAGAGUAGAAUUCCUAGUGUAGCGGUGAAAUGCGUAGAUAUUAGGAGGAAUACCAGUAGCGAAGGCGGCUCUCUGGACUGUAACUGACACUGAGGCACGAAAGCGUGGGGAGCAAACAGGAUUAGAUACCCUGGUAGUCCACGCCGUAAACGAUGAGUACUAGGUGUCGGGGGUUACCCCCCUCGGUGCCGCAGCUAACGCAUAAGACUCCGCCUGAAG
rnacentral:rRNA from 1 species